AAUCCCCUGCGGUGUUCGUCAAGGCCAACCAUUCCUUGAACCGAUACAUCGGCAUCAUGGCUGCCGACCGCACAUGUCGCUGUUGCGAGCGCCCUUCGCCGGGCGCACCUGAUGCGGCAGGAAGGCAGCCGCACUCGAGCCUUGGGUUCGGGAUGCCGGCCUGACGGCACACGCGGGGGGCCA
rfam:Betaproteobacteria bacterium CG2_30_68_42 cg2_3.0_scaffold_1085_c, whole genome shotgun sequence.